GAAUUCCGUGAAUCAUCGAAUCUUUGAACGCACCUUGCGCUCCAUGGUAUUCCGUGGAGCAUGCCUGUUUGAGUGCCGCGAAUUCUCCCACCCCAAACGGUUGCCGAAAGGUACUGUGCGGCGGAGGGGUUGGAUGGGUGCUGCUGCCUGUGGGAAACUACAGGCUCGCCCGAAAUGCAUUAGCGCCUCAGGACACAUUCGCUACUGCUCUACAAAAGGAAGAGCGGCGAAGCGUAUGGGGGAAAACCACCGCCGGUUAUUCCAAACCUCGCCUGACUGUUUGCGCAUGGCAUGAUACGUCAUUUGCUGUGUUGCGUUGGUUGGUGCGUGGGACUGUGUGAGUGCCUCUAGAGCUUUGAGAAGUGUUUCGUGUGCUACGAACUGAAAAGUACAUUC
rnacentral:misc_RNA from 1 species